UAAAACUUUCAACAACGGAUCUCUUGGUUCUCGCAUCGAUGAAGAACGCAGCGAAAUGCGAUAAGUAGUGUGAAUUGCAGAAUUCAGUGAAUCAUCGAAUCUUUGAACGCACAUUGC
rnacentral:rRNA from 2 species